GACGAACGCUGGCGGCGUGCUUAACACAUGCAAGUCGAACGGAAAGGCCCUGCUUUUGUGGGGUGCUCGAGUGGCGAACGGGUGAGUAACACGUGAGUAACCUGCCCUUGACUUUGGGAUAACUUCAGGAAACUGGGGCUAAUACCGGAUAGGAGCUCCUGCUGCAUGGUGGGGGUUGGAAAGUUUCGGCGGUUGGGGAUGGACUCGGGGCUUAUCAGCUUGUUGGUGGGGUAGUGGCUUACCAAGGCUUUGACGGGUAGCCGGCCUGGGAGGGUGACCGGGCACAUUGGGACUGAGGUACGGACCAGACUCCAACGGGAGGCAACAGUGGGGAAUAUUGCACAAUGGGCGGAAGCCUGAUGCAGAGACGCCGCGUGCGGGAUGACGGCCUUCGGGUUGUAAACCGCUUUCGCCUGUGACGAAGCGUGAGUGACGGUAAUGGGUAAAGAAGCACCGGCUAACUACGUG
rnacentral:rRNA from 1 species